CAUGAAAUUCUUAAAGGGGACCCUAAUUGGAGUGAGACUUCACCAUUGAGAUGCUCCUGUCGGAUAUCACACAAUCGGCCACCUGCACAUGACACAAAUUAUGUGUCCGUACAAGACGACUUGUCAACGACUCUUUGGGACAUUUGUGAAAACAGGAGGACAGCCAGCCAAACCGACUCCCGUUUAUCACAAAAUAAAGACAAAUGUUCAUUUGAGGUGAACUGCAUUACAGAAAUGCCACCCUGCGGCAAAGCACAAAAAUCACCAGGAUAUGGGGUUGGGGUGAAGGUAAGGAUGAGUAAAUCAAUAAUAACAGAAUGUUCAUUUUUGUCAGAAAUCUCCUUAAGAGACAAUGAAACCCUGAUAUAUUAGCCAACGUUUAAUCUAUGUCCAGUAACUUGGUGCCUGGUAAAUGUUUUUGUGCGAGCGCAGUCUGAUAAAGAACAGAUAUCCUCCUGUUUGGAAAAAAGGACUUGCUCCUCACCCUUGGCUUCUAACUCCAUGUUAGAAAAACUUGAAGCAAUUGCUUUAAGGUGCUGAAAUGACAUGCUGACAAAUGUUAUGUUUAGACUAAUAGUUAAGACAGUCUGAAAGAGGAGCUGUGCAUGUCCCUCUGAGUAUGCUGGAGACAAAUUUACAAAUGGACUUUCCCCCGAUGACAGCUUUUAAGUAAAGGCUACAUCGGUAAGACUGCAGAUAGUCUCCAUAGUAACUUCCACAAAUUAAACACCUGAAAAUAGUGAAAGAUUACUGGGGCCUCUUCUUCUCUUUCUGCUUCUGAAGGGAAUGAAAUGAACGACAGCCUGCACAGGAAGUCUUGGGAAACUUGUCCCAUUCUCUCUCCAGUGGUUUAUAAAAUGGUUUAGCAGAACAUGUAGGAUGCCAGUGUGUUUAAGGCUGCCUGCCUGCAGGAAUGAACAGCAUGGACUCAAAAAUAUGCAACUAUGGCGAGUGACAUAAACAAACAAUUUUUUUUUUUUUUGUAUUUGUUUAUAUUUCAUGGUUUCAUCUUUUGUGGGUGACCUGAAUGAUACUAAUCAAUAAUAUUAAAUCUAAUUAUAGUGUGCAUAUAUACUGUAAAUACCAAAUAUCUGACAGUGUACAGUUGUCAUUUUCCCCUUUUUUGCAGAUUAAACAUUUCUUGAAAGUAACGCACAUGCUUGCUGCUUACAUUUGCAUUUGAAGAGAAAGAGCAUUUUAAAGUUUUUUUUUUUAUAUAUAAGAAACAGCAUAUAUUAAAUAGAAAUACAGUAGAAAGAUGGAAGAAAACCAGCUUUUCACCAAACAGUUAUAUGAUUCCUUUUACAGUUAGCUUAUAGUCUAUUAUUACUGUAAGAAGAAUGUCUUCUGUGUGUGAUCCAUGAGACUUUAA
ensembl:lncRNA